UGGGGAAUCUUGCGCAAUGGGCGAAAGCCUGGCGCAGCCAUGCCGCGUGAAUGAUGAAGGUCUUAGGAUUGUAAAGUUCUUUCGCCCGUGACGAUGAUGACGGUAACGGGAGAAGAAGCCCCGGCUAACUUCGUGCCAGCAGCCGCGGUAAUACGAAGGGGGCUAGCGUUGUUCGGAAUUACUGGGCGUAAAGGGCGCGUAGGCGGCCCUCUAAGUCAGACGUGAAAUCCCCCGGCUUAACCUGGGAACUGCGUCUGAUACUGGAGGGCUUGAGUAUGGGAGAGGGAUGUAGAAUUCCAGGUGUAGCGGUGAAAUGCGUAGAUAUCAAGAGGAACACCUGAGGUGAAGACGGGUUGCUGGGCUGACACUGACGCUGAGGCGCGAAAGCCAGGGGAGCAAACGGGAUUAGAUACCCCCGUAGUCCCUGAGCGGGCUGGCAAGGCGCAU
rnacentral:rRNA from 1 species